AUUGAACGCUGGCGGCAGGCCUAACACAUGCAAGUCGACCGGGUGGCGGACGGGUGAGGAAUGUCUGGGAAACUGCCCGAUGGAGGGGGAUAACUACUGGAAACGGUAGCUAAUACAGCAUACUAUCGGAUGUGCCCAGAUGGGAUUAGCUUGUAGGUGAGGUAACGGCUCACCUAGGCGACGAUCCCUAGCUGGUCUGAGAGGAUGACCAGCCAGACUGGAACUGUGACAGGGUCCAGACUGCUAGGGGAAGCAGCAGGGGGCAGUAGGGCACAAGGGGCGGAAGAGUGAUGCAGCUAUGCCGCGUGUAUGAAGAAGGCAUUCGGGUUGUAAAGUACAUUCAGCGGGGAGGCGUUACCCGCAGAAGAAGCACCGGCUAACUCCGUGCCAGCAGCCGCGGUAAUUC
rnacentral:rRNA from 1 species